GAUGAACGCUGGCGGCGUGCCUAAUACAUGCAAGUCGAGCGAACGGACGAGAAGCUUGCUUCUCUGAUGUUAGCGGCGGACGGGUGAGUAACACGUGGAUAACCUACCUAUAAGACUGGGAUAACUUCGGGAAACCGGAGCUAAUACCGGAUAAUAUUUUGAACCGCAUGGUUCAAAAGUGAAAGACGGUCUUGCUGUCACUUAUAGAUGGAUCCGCGCUGCAUUAGCUAGUUGGUAAGGUAACGGCUUACCAAGGCAACGAUGCAUAGCCGACCUGAGAGGGUGAUCGGCCACACUGGAACUGAGACACGGUCCAGACUCCUACGGGAGGCAGCAGUAGGGAAUCUUCCGCAAUGGGCGAAAGCCUGACGGAGCAACACCGCGUGAGUGAUGAAGGUCUUCGGAUCGUAAAACUCUGUUAUUAGGGAAGAACGUAUGUGUAAGUAACUGUGCACAUCUUGACGGUACCUAAUCAGAAAGCCACGGCUAACUACGUG
rnacentral:rRNA from 1 species